AUUAUUACUCGGUGCAAGGAGGCAGGUGAUCACGAAGGCCGCUCCUCGGAACGGGCCAGCCAUUGCACGCACGGCCUAGCGCCCUUCCGCCAUCUUCUCCAAACGGGAGUAGGUGGGGCGAGCAAUUUUUGGGAUCAGUUGCCACGCUGUGGUGACUGU
rnacentral:snRNA from 1 species